GUGCUUAUGAAUAUUCAUCCUAAAUUUUCUUGUGGGAUAUAUGCAAUCGUGGCCUUCGUGUCGGCGUUAUCUUCGUUCGCUCUACCGUUUGACACUAAAGGACAUGAACUCGCAGAUCACUGAUGUGGGUGUUCCAAUAUUGAAAAGAUGGAAAUCACGACUGAAAACGUUCAGUAAUGUCCCGUCCAGUGGAAGCACGAGAAUUAUAAACAUUGUAUGUAUAUAAGAGACCACUUCUGUGAUGAAUAAUAAAGUCAAACGUGGUAAUAUUCUUUUAUCACUAACUGACGUCUUUAAACAACA